rnacentral:lncRNA from 1 species
AUAUUCAACAAAACUGCCGAUAGUCGUUAAAACUAGUAGCAACCAAAGUGCUAGCUUCUUCAAGAGCAAAUAUAUCUUCGUCCUUAGUCGGCUCUCAUAAACUUUGUUUAUUUCAUCUAUCACUAGCCGCAACUUGGAUUUCCCUUUGGUUUUCAUUGUCGAUGUAGAGCCGCUCAUCCCUUUGAAGAGUCUGGCAACUUUAGCCGCACCCAUGUCACCUAUGAUAACAUUUUGACUUUUGAGGUAAGUGGCAUCAUCCUUAUUAGUGACGAGCCCACACAUUAAAUCCAUGUAUUCACUAAGUGGGAAACUAUCCGAGUUGGCCGUCACUGUCUCGCUGUGA